rnacentral:rRNA from 1 species
UACGUAGGGUGCAAGCGUUGUCCGGAAUUAUUGGGCGUAAAGAGCUCGUAGGCGGUCUGUCACGUCGGCUGUGAAAACCCGAGGCUCAACCUCGGGCCUGCAGUCGAUACGGGCAAACUAGAGUACUGCAGGGGAGACUGGAAUUCCUGGUGUAGCGGUGAAAUGCGCAGAUAUCAGGAGGAACACCGGUGGCGAAGGCGGGUCUCUGGGCAGUAACUGACG